rnacentral:rRNA from 1 species
UACGGGGGGGGGCAAGCGUUGUUCGGAAUUACUGGGCGUAAAGGGCGCGUAGGCGGCCCGCUAAGUCGAACGUGAAAUCCCCGGGCUCAACCCGGGAACUGCGUCCGAUACUGGCAGGCUUGAAUCCGGGAGAGGGAUGCGGAAUUCCAGGUGUAGCGGUGAAAUGCGUAGAUAUCUGGAGGAACACCGGUGGCGAAGGCGGCAUCCUGGACCGGUAUUGACGCUGAGGCGCGAAAGCCAGGGGAGCAAAGCGGG